GAUGAUGGCUCUGAUUGAACGCUAUCCAAGUGCUUGACACAUGCUAAUCGAACGUCUAAUUUCAUUAGAAUUAAUUUAGUUAGAAGUGGUGUACAGGUGAGUAAAUGAUAUUAUGGCUACCUUGGAGUAAGGGACAUUAAAAUCCCUUAUAUUAUACAAAAAAAUUGGUAUUAAAGAAAUUUAUUUUCGCUUCAAGAUGGAAAUUAAUGUCUCGGGCAGGUAGUAGUUAAGGUAAUGGCUUAACUAGCUUAUGUCCGUAGUUCGAGACUGAGAGGUCGAUCGAUCACAUUGGGUCUGAAAAAACCCCAAUACGUAUAGUACAGCAGUGAGGAAUAUUGGUCAAUGGCCUAACGGCUGAACCAGCAACUUGGGGGAAUGGAUAUAUAUAUUAGAGAUAAUAUAUAGUACCGACUCUGUCGGCUAAAGUUCUAGAUAGAAUAAUGAUAAUGACAAUUUUCUAUCUAUAUGUCUUGACCAAAUCUUGUGCCAGCAGUCGCGGCAACACAAGGGAGACUAGUGUUAUUCAUCUUUAUUAGGUUUAAAGGGUACCUAGACGGUAUAUCAAGCCCCAAAAGGGAACGGAUAUACUAGAGUUUUAUGUGAGAGGCAAAUAUAGUACUAUUGGUGUAGAGAUAAAAUUCAUUGAUACCUCUAGGCACGGGUAACGGCGAAGGCAAUCCUCUAUGUAAAAACUGACGUUGAGGGACGAAGGCUCGGGUAGCGAAUAGGAUUAGAUACCCUAGUAGUCCGGGCAGACAAUUAUGAAUGUCAUAGAUUAGAAAACAAAGAAGCUAGUUAGGUUUGCUAUGAACAGACUGUAUAAUUUAAGAGUCUUGUUAUUAAAUUAUACAGUCUCUACUGUAACUAGUUUUAGAUAUUAACUCUUAGACUUCCUUAAACGAGAGUCUCCUCAUUUCCUUCUGACUUCUCAUUAAGGGAGAGGCUCCGAGAAGCAAAGCAGAUGGGUGUAGAAUGGGAGUUUAAGGAAGGUUUAUUUGCCUCUUGGAUUAUUCAUUCUUUAAAUAAACCUUCGAAGGUUAGUUAUCUUUCUCUAGUUAACCGUACACAAGGAGCUAGAAGUGUAGUAUAUAUCAACUUGUGUAUUAAAAAGGAUACGGGUAAAGGUUUGCUUCUUCACCUUCCUAUUUUUGGUCUAUAAAUGAAAGUGUAAGCAUUCCACCUCAAGAGUAAGGCGGCAACGUUGGAACUGAAAUCAUUAGACCGUUUCUGAAACCAGUAGUGAAGUAUGUUAUUUAAUUCGAUGAUCCGC
rnacentral:rRNA from 1 species